rnacentral:RNase_P_RNA from 1 species
ACUGCAAACCGAGCUAUCGUCCCGGUAAAACGGGGAGGAAAGUCCGGACAGUACAGGGCAAUGCACCGGUGAAGAGCCGGGUGAUGAAGCAAUUCGUCAACAGAAAGUGCCACAGAAAAUAACCGCCCUGCCACAAGCGGGGUAAGGGUGAAAAUGUGAGGUAAGAGCUCACAGUUAAAAAUGGCAACAUUUUUUCCGGGUAAACCUUGCGUGCUGAAAUGCCACAUAUACCAUCUUUUGAGAACGGCCCGUUCCAGCCUGUUCUUUUAGAGCAGGGGGAUGGAGGGUAGGCAGAUGGAUUCUGCAGUGCAAAUUGCAGAACAGAUAAAUGAUAGCUGCAUCUUUAUGAUGUUACAGAAUCCGGCUUACAGGUUUGCAGAUUUU